rnacentral:rRNA from 1 species
GAUGAACGCUGGCGGCGUGCUUAACACAUGCAAGUCGAGCGAGAAGUUUUGAAAAGAUUCUUCGGAUGAAAUUUAAAAUGGAAAGCGGCGGACGGGUGAGUAACGCGUAGGCAACCUGCCCCAUACAAAGGGAUAGCAUUUGGAAACGAAUAUUAAUACCUUAUGAAACUUAACUAGUGCAUGCUAGGUAGGUCAAAGAUUUAUCGGUAUGGGAUGGGCCUGCGUCUGAUUAGCUAGUUGGUGAGGUAACGGCUCACCAAGGCGACGAUCAGUAGCCGACCUGAGAGGGUGAACGGCCACAUUGGAACUGAGACACGGUCCAAACUCCUACGGGAGGCAGCAGUGGGGAAUAUUGCACAAUGGGGGAAACCCUGAUGCAGCAACGCCGCGUGAACGAUGAAGGCCUUUGGGUCGUAAAGUUCUGUUCUAGGUGAUGAAAACUGACAGUAACCUAGGAGAAAGCCCCGGCUAACUCCGUGCCAGCAGCCGCGGUAAUACGGAGGGGGCAAGCGUUAUCCGGAAUUAUUGGGCGUAAAGGGUACGUAGGUGGCCUUUUAAGCGUAGGGUAUAAGGCAAUGGCUCAACCAUUGUUCGCCCUAUGAACUGGAAGGCUUGAGUGCAGGAGAGGAAAGCGGAAUUCCUAGUGUAGCGGUGGAAUGCAUAGAUAUUAGGAGGAACAUCAGCGGCGAAGGCGGCUUUCUGGACUGCAACUGACGCUGAGGCUCGAAAGCGUGGGGAGCAAACAGG